UUGGUUCCAAAUCAGUUGUGAGUGAAGGGAGGUAGAACAGAUACCAGACUGGUAUCCAGAUUGAUAGCUGGUGACUCUGGAUAUAUGCAGGUGGGUUGUACAGAAAUGAUGGAUUUCCUAGAGCUCUUCACUCCUGGGGACUAGGAGUCUGAGGGGCCCAUAGUUGGCACAUCUUAGAAAGCAGCCUUCUCUAGACUGAGAAUAGCUGUGAGUUUGGGUUGGUGGAUCUGAGUAGCUCUGUUAUCUCU
rnacentral:lncRNA from 1 species